CCGGGGCUGGGGCGGACGGGCGGGGCCCUGGGCGCCCGGGCCGCCUCCCUGCUCUCUCCCGGCGUCUGGCCGCAGCGCCGGCUCCAGGUUUCCCCUCCCAGCGUGGGGUGGCAGCCUGGAGAGGCAUCUGCAGAAACCACGCGAGCCCCGGGGAGGAGAGCCCAUGGUGCACACAUAGGCGCGUGUCGGGGACCCCAAGCCCCUGGGCCCCGGGCACACUCGCAGAACCGCUGCAGGGACGUGGCCCAAGCUGGAAUUGCCCUGCGCACAGGCCAGGACCUUUGGGAGCAGCGACUGUCGAGAUAAGGUCAACGGCGGGCCCGCGGUGACUCAGCUCCCCUUGGCCCCGAGGAAGCUCGGCUGGCCCGGGGGGGCGGGGCCUGCGACGCUCCGCCCCCUGCUCCGGCUCCCGGAAGGCGCCCCACACCACCCCCAGCUUCCCAGAGGCGCCCAGAUUUCCCACGGGUUUUCCUGGUGGUGUCGUAACGAGCCCGGCCCUUUCGGAGCGUCCCAGGGCCCCGAGUCAGCUCCCUGUGACGGGACACAUGAGGAUCUGAGCGCCGCACGCUCCCUGACUGUGUGUGUGCGUGUGGUAAGGACAGGGCCAGACCCUCUGAGGCUUCCUCCCACCCCACUUCCUGUUUCAUCCAGAUGCCAACAUCCACGUGGACUAAUCUGCCGAGAUCAUUCCUGACCUCCAGCAUCACAAUUUCCAAACCUGCUCAGUGUUCCCCAGCUUCUCCUGCCUGACUCGCUGCAAGGUCAGAGAGCCUCUGACAUCUUAGCCUCCUACGUCACAUUAAAGGCCUCAGUGUCCCCUUUCUAGGUUCUGGGCCUCCCUCCACUCCUGCUCUUGAACCUUAACAAUGACUUUUUUUGUGUAUCGGACUGGGGAUUGAGUUACAGCCCAGCCCAUGUUUUAUUCUGAGACAGGGCCCUGCUAAAUUGCUAGUUCCAGGCUAGGCUGGAACUUGCUCUGAUCCUCCUGCUUCAGCCUCCCCAGUGUUCGGAUUACAGGCAUGCACCACCACGUCUGUCAUCAACAACCUUCUGUCCCGACUCAUUUGGAUCAUCUGGACAACCAACCACUUUCUCCAGCCCUAUGUUAGUUAAAGUCAUGCUAUUUGCUAAAACAAACACAUCCCAAACUGUGUAUCAGCUCAACCUAGUUCAUUUCCGGAUUGCAGAACGCUUCUGAGCAGGGAUGCCCGUCCUCCAGGUGAUGAUCCAGGAGCCGGGCUCCGCCAUCUCCAACGUGUGCUUUCCAGGGCUGUCAGGCCGGUGGCUUAGCAGCAGCAGAAAUUUAUUUCCCUUGGUUCAGGGGGCCAAAAGUCUGAGAUCAAGAUACCAACAUGCUCAGGCCCCGGGGGGCCCCUCCUCUGAGCUUCAGACUGCAAACUCCUCCUUGUGUCUCACUUAGGAAGAGACAAGCAGCUCGCUGGCUUCAUUCUACAGGUACAAUCUCAACCCAAAGGCUCUGCCCUUGGGUCCCAAUUACCUCCUAAUACUCCCCCUCCAAAUACUUUUACAGUGGGGGCUUGGGGAGGACACAAAAGUUCAGUCCAUAAAGGCGCAUCAGACUGGACGGAGGGGAAGGGCAGGGUGCAGAAGACACAGCUGCUGGUUCACUGCCCUGGCUGGGAGUGACAUCUCAUUCCUGGUCACCGUGCCAUCAGCAAGACAUCCGGGGCGUCCUGACUCCUCUGAAAGUCACAGGUGUGUGGGGAGUGUGGUGUUCUGGGAAGCCCUUGCUGGCCAGCCUCAGCUGCAGUGUGUGGACAGGUGGGGUGGUACUUUCGGGUGAAGUCAGUUCUCUCUGCUCCAUUCCCUUCCCUUCCCUCCACCACACCCUCCCACCAAGGCCCAGCCCAUACUACAAGUCAGUCAACCUCCCUGAUGGAAUCCUUUGUCCUGGAGAAAGCUGGAGGUGGACAUAUCGGUGCAGAUGAAGAUUUAGGACCCUGAAGCCAGCGAGGCUCUGCAUUGCUGGUACCAGGGAUCGAACUCGGGACUUUGUGCUUUCGAGGCAGGUGGCGGCACCACUGAGCUACAUCCCCGGCCUGUGGGCUCCGAUUCUCAUUUCCCACAAGUUUCUUAAUACCCCUGCUGGCCCAGCCCCUGCCCCAGCCUCACUCAGCACAGGAGAACUUAGGGGCCAGAAUGCUAAGAUGCCCCAGUGCCCCCCCCCCCCGGAGCAUGUCCAGCCUUGCACCCUGGCCUCUCCCCAGGCUUCAGACCCGCGUCUCCUGCUGCCUCCAGGACACUUCCACCUGGAUCCCCCAGCUCUUCCAUAGGGGACGGGUGUCAGCACCCAGCCCACCUCUCCCGUGGUGUUUUUUCCUGUGAUGGUGACACCCUCAUCCCAACUGGAAACUUGAGGGGCAUCCUUGUCUUGUUUCUCAGAUUAAACUCUGGCCGAACUUUUUUGGUUUUCUUUUUGGUGGUACUGGGGGCUACAUUCGGGUCCUUCACACUGAGCUACAUCCCCAGCCCUUUUUAUUUUUUACUUUGAGACAGAGUCCUCUUAAGUCACUAAGUUGCCCAGGCUGGGUACGAACUUGCCAUCCUCCUGUCUCAGCCUCCCAGCAUGCUGGGAUUACGUAUGUGGAGCACCAUACCCAGCUCCAGGACAUUUCUUUUUAAUUCUUUUUUUUUUUUUUUUUUUUUGUUGGGGAUGGAACUCAGGACCUUGCGCUUGUGAGGCAGGCUUGGUGCCACUGAGCUGAAUCCCUGGCCCUUCCAAGACAUUUCUGAAGUCGGUUUCCUCUGCUCCUUUCCUGGGUUCCCACCUCAGCGCUUGCAGUCAUGGCAGCAGCGGCCGCCUCAAGUUCUUUAAGCCUCCAGUCCGUGGCUUCUCCAGCAGCAGCCACCGUGACUGUUCUGGAGUAAGGAUCUGAUCUCAGACCCUGUAAUCUAUAGGCAAAGCAUGGGCUCCCCUUUGAGGUUCCCAAGGCACCACUAACCGACCCCACUUCCCCUUCAGCCAGCCCCUCACUCAACGUUCCAGAAACACCCAGCUCUCUUCUGGAUGUGUCCACAGGACCUGGGCCCCACGAGGGGAACGCAGCUGGGCCUCCCAAGGUCCUUCUCCCCAGACCACCCUCUGCUCUCCUGGCUGUGCUGACCACCGCCCUCGACAAAGCCUUUGCAUGCCUGCCUCCAGCACCAGGGGGCAGGAAGAGCUCACGGUGGAGCUCAGCGCCUGGUACAUGGCUUAGCAUCCAGUAGGUGCUCAAUGCAUGCUCCCUGAAUAGGUGAAGAGGGGGAGAAGGUACCCGUUUGAGAGAUGGAAAACCUUUAUUUGGAUCUGCUUGCCUUAUGCCAUCCUGCCUCGUGCUGAAUGAACAUUUCCUGCUCCUGCUCAGCAGAGCCAAAUUGUAUAUGUGUGUGUAUCUGUGAAAUCCGAUCCUCUGCCCGAGAGCCUGCCCAUCCAUUAAUCGUGACUGGCUAUUUGCACAAAGCCGCUUCUCUCAGAGCGCUUCUGCAUGGAGCGCCAGGCUCUCCUGCUCUGCCAGGGCUUCGGGCUACCUCACGACUGACUCGGGCUCUCACGGGCCGUCCCUCAGGGCCUUGGGAGGUGAGCCAGGAAGAAACAUUUCCUUCUUUUCUAUCUUCUUUUCCCUCCUUGCCCUACCCCUAGAUAUAUUUUUUCUUUUUUUUCUUUUUGUAGUGCUGGAGGUCAAGCCUAGGGCCUUGCCGGUGCUAGGCAAGUACUCUACCGAGAAAAGCUGUUCAAGGGUAACCACUGUCCCAGGGAGUGGCGCAAGUCAGGCAUUUGCUCUCUGCUCUGGAACAGACCACCUUGCUCCCUGCCUGCCUCCCGGGAUGUGGGAAACUCCUGUGCCUGGGGACGGGGCAGCCGCACCCCCCAGCCCCCAGGUCACUGGGCUGUGGCUGUUCUCGGUAGACAGCCACCCAUGCCGGCUGGGACAAGAGUGGGACUCCAGGUGCAGGAGGUCCCCUAGGGGCUCACUGGACAGCUGUCUUUCUCUCUGGACCACAGGGUUUUCUCAUUGGUUCCCCUUCUCACAAGGCCCGUGACCAGCUCACAAGGCCUCUCAUGAC
rnacentral:lncRNA from 1 species